CCCUGGUCUUAAGUGAUAGGUAGAGUGUAUGGAACAUUCUUGAAAGCUUCCAGCGGCGGUGCUUGCAGAGGCACUGUGGAGGCCUGGAAAGUCCUGUGGGAGAGAGUAGAGGUGCUGUCCUUGCAACAGUGUGGUGUAAAAGGAAGUUGCCUCUGGUCAUCUCUUCUGGGUACUGAGAACAAGGCAUUCAACAACCCAAUCGCCGUACAUAGCACACAGCACUCGAAGGUGCGCUAACUUCUGUGGGACAGAACCCGUAUCCCAGAGCAGCUCUGGUGACCGGCUCUCACCUGGUUAUGUUUACUGUUGCCCACCUACCAGCCAUGGCGACCCAUCUACUUUCCCAGAGGCCCGGCAGCGUAGCCUGCCAGCCUGGCCCUGGGGCAUCCGCUGCAGCUCCUGCACCAUCUCAUCCCCUGCCAGCAAGGAGGCUGGGCUGGAUGGCAGUGAAGAGGACUGCAGCCCACCUGCCGACCCUGUGCUGCUGCUUCCCCGAAGAAACCGACCUGAAUAAAACUCAAGGAAGCAGGGGUCCAAUGGUGCGCCCAGUGUGUUACCUGUGUCUCAAUGCUGUCAUUUCAAUUGUCAAGUCGUAACUGUAGGGAGGACAGAAAGAGAGAGAGAGAGAGGGCACGGGGAU